rnacentral:rRNA from 1 species
ACUCUAAGCGGUGGAUCACUCGGUCAUGGGUCGAUGAAGAACGCAGCAAACUGUGCGUCAUCGUGUGAACUGCAGGACACAUGAACAUCGACAUUUGAACGCAUAUCGCAGUCCAUGCUGUUAUGUACUUAAUUAAUUUUAAAGUGCUGCUUGGACUACAUAUGGUUGAGGGUUGUAAGACUAUGCAAAUAAGUUGUUCAUAAUUUCAUUUCAUGAUUUUUAUAGCACAUGGUAUUUUUGGGUAUAAUAAUUAUUAAUUGUUAUAUCAUAAUAUUAAAUUAUAUGAAAACAUAUCUCACAUUGUGUAAUAUUGAAUGUGAAACGAAGGAAAUUUUCUUUUUUUUAAAUCAAUAAUACUGAGAAUGUCUAGCAUAAAAAUGUGAAAUAUUUUCAUCUAGAUUGUCUCUUAUUAAUGAUGCAAAAUCGAAAAUGUUGCUAAUGUUAUUAUUCUUCGUUGGUUUGUUAAAAAUAUAACAAUUUAAUAUAUAUGUUUCUCUAUAUAAAAGAAUUAAUGCUAUAAAUGUUUAUACAACCUCAACUCAUAUGGGACUACCCCUGAAUUUAAGCAUAUUAUUAGGGGAGGAAAGAAACUAACAAGGAUUUUCUUAGUAGCGGCGAGCGAAAGAAAUCAGUUCAGCACUAAGUCACUUUGUCUAUUGGCAAAUGUGAGAUGCGUGUAUGGAGCGUCAUAUUCUAGUAUGGAAUUAACAUUUAGUCUUCUUAAUGAGCAUUACCAUAGAGGUGCAGGCCGUAUACGUUAUGAUUACUAGAUAUGUUUCAAAGAGUCGUGUUGCUUGAUAGUGCAGCACUAAGUGGGUGGUAAACUCCAUCUAAACUAAAUAACCAUGAGACCGAGUAACAGUACCGUGAGGAAGUUGAAAGAACUCUGAAUAGAGAGUUACAGUACGUGAAACUGCUUAGAGGUUAGCCCGAUGAACUGAUAUCCGUUAUGGAAAUUCUCAUUGACUUGUGUAUUAAACAAUUAUGAUAUAGUGUCAUUUUUCCAUAUAAGGACAUUGUAAUCUAUUAACAUAACUAAAUUUAUCAUAAAUAUGGCUUAUAGUUUAUUCAAAUUUAUGCUUGCAUUUACAUAGAUAAUGUCUUAUUUGAUAAUGUGAUGAUUAUGAACGUGCGUUAUUUUUCGGAUUAUUAUGGCAUUAUCAUUGAUUUUGUGUUUAUUAUAUGCACUUGUCGAUUACAAUGCGAAGAUUCAGGAUACCUUCGGACCCGUCUUGAAACACGGACCAGGAUCUAACAUAUGUCAGUUAUUGGAUAACCUAAUAGCGUAAUUAAUUGACUAAUAAUGGAUUGUUUUUAACUAUUAUGCUAAUUAACACAUCCCGGGUUCUAUAUAGUUAUGUAUAAUAAUAUAUUAUUUAUGCUCUAACUGGAACGUCUUGAGCAGAUAUGCUGUGACCCGAAGAUGGUGAACUAUACUUGAUCAGGUUGAAGUCAGGGAACCCUGAUGGAAGACCGAAACAGUUCUGACGUGCAAUCGAUUGUCAGAAUUGAGUAUAGGGCGAAGACCAUCGAACAUCUAGCUGGUUCCUUCCGAGUUUCCCCAGGAUAGCUGGUGCAUUUUAUGUUAUAUAAAUAUUUAUCUGGUAAAGCGAAUGAUUAGAGGCCUUAGGGUCGAAACGAUCUUAACCUAUUCUCAACUUUAAAUGGGUAAGAACCUUAACUUUCUUGAUAUGAAGUUUAAGGUUAUGAUUAUGUGCCCAGUGGGCCACUUUUGGUAAGCGAACUGGCGCUGUGGGAUGAACCAAACGUAAUGUUACGGUGCCAAUUAACAACUCAUGCAGAUACCAUGAAAGGCGUUGGUUGCUUAACAGCAGGACGGUGAUCAUGGAAGUCGAAAUCCGCUAAGGAGUGUGUAACAACUCACUGCCGAAGCAACUAGCCUUAAUGGAUGGCGCUUAAGUUGUAUACCUUACUUACCGCUAAAGUAGAUGAUUUAUUUACUUGUAAUAUAAAUUUUGAACUUUAGUGAGUAGGAAGGUACAUGGUAUGCGUAGAAGUGUUGGCGUAAGCCUGCAUGGAGCUGCAUUGGUACAGUCUUGGUGGUAGUAGCAAUAAUCGAUGAGACCUUGGAGGACUGAAGUGGGAGAGGUUUCGUGUGAACAGUGGUUGAUCACGGUUGUCGGUCCUAGUUCAAGGCGAAGCCGAAUUUUCAAGUAUAAAUGACUAUAUAUUACAAAUGCCAAUAUUACUUGAUAUUUUGACGAAAGGGAUACGGUUCCAUUCCGUACCUGUUGAGUAUCGUUUGUUAUUAAUAUGGGCCUCGUGCUCAUCCUGGCACAGGACGACCUAAGAAGCCGUCGAGAGAUAUCGGAGGUUUUCUUUUCUGUUUUAUGCCGUACUACCAUGGAGUCUUUCGCAGAGAUAUGGUAGAUGGGCUAGAAGGCAUGAUAUACUGUUGUGUCGAUAUUUUCUCCUCGGACCUUGAAAUUUAUGGUGGGGAUACGCAACUUCUCAACGGCCGUACCAAUAUCCGCAGCUGGUCUCCAAGGUGAAGAGUCUCUGUCGAUAGAUAUGUAGGUAGGGAAGUCGGCAAUUAGAUCCGUAACUUCGGGUAAGGAUUGGCUCUGAGAUUGAGAUAGUCGGGCUUGAUUGGGAAACAAUAACAUGGUUUAUGUGCUCGUUCUGGGUAAUAGAGUUUCUAUCAUUUAUGUUAGUUGCUUGUUCCCCGGAUAGUUUAGUUACGUAGCCAAUUGUGGAACUUUCUUGCUAAAAUUUUUAAGAUACUAGUUGGGUCAACCAAUUAGUUCUAUUAAUUAUAACGAUUAUCAAUUAACAUCAUUCAACUGGCCGGACUUGGGGAAUCGACUGUCUAAUUAAACAAGCAUUGUGAUGGCCCUAGCGGGUGUUGACACAAUGUGAUUUCUGCCCAGUGCUCUGAUGUCAAAGUGAAGAAUUCAAGUAGCGCGGGUCAACGGCGGGAGUACUAUGACUCUUAAGGUAGCCAAAUGCCUCGUCAUCUAAUUGUGACGGCAUGAAUGGAUUAACGAGAUUCCUACUGUCCUAUCUACUAUCUAGCGAAACACAGCCAAGGGACGGGUUGGAAUAAUUAGCGGGGAAAGAAGACCCUUUUGAGCUUGACUCUAAUCUGGCAGUGUAAGGAGACAUAGAGGUGUA